UGGGGAAUAUUGCGCAAUGGGGGCAACCCUGACGCAGCAACGCCGCGUGAUUGAUGAAGGUCUUCGGAUUGUAAAAAUCUUUAAUCAGGGACGAAGAAAAUGACGGUACCUGAAGAAUAAGCUCCGGCUAACUACGUGCCAGCAGCCGCGGUAAUACGUAGGGAGCAAGCGUUAUCCGGAUUUACUGGGUGUAAAGGGCGUGUAGGCGGGCUUGCAAGUUGGAAGUGAAAUCCAGGGGCUUAACCCCUGAACUGCUUUCAAAACUGCGAGUCUUGAGUGAUGGAGAGGCAGGCGGAAUUCCCAGUGUAGCGGUGAAAUGCGUAGAUAUUGGGAGGAACACCAGUGGCGAAGGCGGCCUGCUGGACAUUAACUGACGCUGAGGCGCGAAAGCGUGGGGAGC
rnacentral:rRNA from 1 species